AUUGAACGCUGGCGGCAGGCCUAACACAUGCAAGUCGAGCGGAGCGGCGGACGGGUGAGUAAUGCCUAGGAAUCAGCCUGGUAGUGGGGGAUAACGUCCGGAAACGGGCGCUAAUCCCGCAUACUAUCAGAUGAGCCUCGUGCGGAGUAGCGAGUGGGGGGGGGAAAGGCCUACGAAGGAGACGAGCCUGAACUGGUAUGAGAGGAUGAUCAGGCACACUGGAACUGAGACACGGUCCAGACUCCUACGGGAGGCAGCAGUGGGGAAUAUUGGACAAUGGGCGAAAGCCUGAUCCAGCCAUGCCGCGUGUGUGAAGAAGGUCUUCGGAGUGUAAAGCACUUUAAGUUGGGAGGCGUUACCAACAGAAUAAGCACCGGCUAACUUCGUGCCAGCAGCCGCGGUAAUAC
rnacentral:rRNA from 1 species